rnacentral:rRNA from 1 species
UACGGGGGGGGGCAAGCGUUGUUCGGAAUUACUGGGCGUAAAGGGCUCGUAGGCGGCCAACUAAGUCGGAUGUGAAAUCCCCAGGCUCAACCUGGGAACUGCAUCCGAUACUGGAUGGCUUGAAUUCGGGAGAGGGAUGCGGAAUUCCAGGUGUAGCGGUGAAAUGCGUAGAUAUCUGGAGGAACACCGGUGGCGAAGGCGGCAUCCUGGACCGACACUGACGCUGAGGAGCGAAAGCCAGGGGAGCAAGCAGG